rnacentral:rRNA from 1 species
UACGUAGGGGGCUAGCGUUGUCCGGAAUCAUUGGGCGUAAAGCGCGCGUAGGCGGCCCGGUAAGUCCGCUGUGAAAGUCAAAGGCUCAACCUUUGAAUGUCAGCGGAUACUGCCGGGCUAGAGUCCGGAAGAGGCGAGUGGAAUUCCUGGUGUAGCGGUGGAAUGCGCAGAUAUCAGGAGGAACACCAACGGCGAAGGCAGCUCGCUGGGACGGUACUGACGCUAAGGCGCGAAAGCGUGGGGAGCGAACAGG